UGACCUGUACACUCAAGGAAUCUAGGUUGUGCUCCUUAUGAGAAUCUAAUGGCUGAUGAUCUGUCACUGCCCCCCAUCAUCCCCACAUAGGUACACUUAAUUGCAGGAAACCAAGCUCAGGACUCCCACUGAUUCUAUAUUAUGCAUUAUUCUCAACAACCAAGAUAUGGAAGCAAGCUAAGUACCCAUCAGUGGAAGAGCAUAUAAAGAAAAUGUGGUGUAUAUACACAACAGAACUAUUCAGCCUUUAAAAAAAAAGAAGAAAAUUAUGUCAUUUGCGACAACAUGGAUGAGCCUGGAGGACAUUAUGCUAAGUGAAAAAUGCCAGGUGUUCCAGAAGAAGUCUGAGGACUAGAGAUGAGUGAAUCACUGCACACUGAGCAUGUUGAAACUAAGAGUACUAAACACUGUGUCAGACAAUGAAGGGUUAAGAAUUUGUACCAAAUAGAGGAGGUAAGUAUAAUUUGAGUAUGUGUCUGUAGUCUGACAGAGAGGCUAUGUAGAUGAAGCAUGAUUUAUUUCAAAUUAAGAGAUACUUAUCAGCAGGAGACUAAGAGAAGCAAAGACUUUCUCUAAAUUACUUGAAUGGUUCCAAGAGAAGAAAUACCUCCUGAAUAUGAAUAAGGACCACAGAAGCCCCUCAUUAAGCAGCUCCAGACUCCAGUCCUCCUAGACACUCCUCCCUGCUUCU